CCCCAGGCAGUAAAACUAUCCAUCUCAGCCAAAUGACAGCUCAGUUAAUUGCCCAUAACUGACUGUCCUGGACAUUUUGUUAUUUUUAUAAAUAAAAUCACUAUUAAAAUUUGCAAUAUGUGCUGUGUUUUCUCCGAUGGCUGUCCUUGUGGAGCAUCCGUAGCAAGAAUAGUGAGAAUGUUCUUCAGAAAUUCUCCUUUUGUGUUUCACAGAAGAAACAAUCGGGUUUGGAAUGACAUGAGGAUGAGUAUAUGAGACAGAAUAUUAAUUUUUGGGUGACCUAUUCGUGAACCUAAAUUUAAUCUCAAUCAAAUCUGAAAUGAACUUGUAAUGGAGGCCAAAUCCAGCGUUUCCUCAGAGGCUGGAGUGUGUGACAGCAGCUACAGAGGACACGCUGUGAAACUCAGGCGAUGACAGGCACAGAUCACCUCUAAAAAUACCCUUCACUCAGGAAACGGCACAUCACAAACGCGUACACCAUCAGGGAACAUCCGUGGCCCAAUUUGACACCAUCUCUGUUUACCGUUCACCACCACAUCCUGGAGUCCUGUAAAAUGCAAGUUGUAAACAUUUAGGUCUUUUUUGUUUUACAUGUCGCUGUUUGUUGAAACGUGAUUUGACUAAACCUGCUCGUCUGACUCCUGUGUUUCAUUAAUGGCAUCAGCUCAGGGUGUGUUUCUCGUCUGUGAGGAUCUCUGCAUGGAUGGACCUGCGGGUUUGAUCUGCAUGGAUCAGCCACAUACUGUUUGACAUCAUGUGACACCUGCUGAACACUGACACACUGAAACAGACAGCACAGUUUUUCUUGAUGUUAGCUGUUGGGACGGCUUUGAUAGAGGAAGGGUGGGCUGUCACUGGGAGUUUGGAGUGUGUUCGGUGACGAGGAACAUAACAAAGUUAUUUCUAUAGACAGGACAGUGAAGAGAAUGCCUGAGGAGCGAACACGCAUGUACACACACGCACAAGCAGAGAGUUGCCGAGUGCUGCGGGGACUGAUGUCCCCAGACGCUCCACAUGGACACAGUAAGGAAGAGGUCAUGGCUAUAUUCAGCAAGGUCAUCAAAGAGCCUGGAGGUCACCUGUCCUUGACCCCUCUGCUUUGUGCGCUCUGCUUUCUGGAAGUUUCUGUGAUUUGCUGUGCAGUGCGGUUCAUCGAAUCCCUCAGAGGGCCUUUCACCUGUCUCCUAACAGCUCCCAGAAUGCAACGCUGCACAGGACAACACACGCCUGGCAAUUAGAGGGAACUGGAGUGCUCUUCUGAGAGCCGAAAUAAUUGGAUGUUAGAGCGUGUACGUGUGGACUCCGAACUGCCUGACUUGAUUUACUUUUCUCAUAGUAAUUACUGCGGUUGAAUAAAAUAGAGCAAUUUUGGCA
ensembl:lncRNA